rnacentral:rRNA from 1 species
UUCGGGUGGCCGGCGAGUGGCGAACGGGUGCGUAACGCGUGGAUACCUACCCUGAGGCGGGGGACAACAGUUGGAAACGACUGCUAAUACCGCAUAAGCCCUAAGGGGGAAAGGCUUCGGCUACCUUGGGACGGGUCCGCGUCGGAUUAGCUUGUUGGUGAGGUAAAGGCUCACCAAGGCGAUGAUCCGUAGCUGGUCUGAGAGGAUGAUCAGCCACACUGGGACUGAGACACGGCCCAGACUCCUACGGGAGGCAGCAGUGGGGAAUAUUGCGCAAUGGGGGCAACCCUGACGCAGCGAUACCGCGUGGGUGAAGAAGGUCUUCGGAUUGUAAAGCCCCUUCAGUGGGGAAGAUUGUGACGGUACCCACAGAAGAAGCUCCGGCUAACUCCGUGCCAGCAGCCGCGGUAAUACGGAGGGGGCGAGCGUUGUUCGGAAUUACUGGGCGUAAAGGGCGCGUAGGCGGCCUGUCAAG